rnacentral:rRNA from 1 species
UACGGAAUGUGCAAACGUUAUUCGGAAUCACUGGGCUUAAAGAGUCCGUAGGCGGCAUGUUAGGUGAGGUGUGAAAUCCCCCGGCUCAACCGAGGAAUUGCGCUUCAAACCGGCGUGCUUGAGGAAGAUAGAGGUGGGCGGAACUGAUGGUGGAGCGGUGAAAUGCGUUGAUAUUAUCAGGAACACCGGAGGCGAAAGCGGCCCACUGGGUCUUUUCUGACGCUGAGGGACGAAAGCUACGGGAGCGAACGGG